AUCAAGUUAUUACCUCCCUUUAUGCUAGGUGAUUAUGUAACACUAAAAUCCUAUAUCAAGUUAUUACCUCCCUUUAUAAUAGGUGAUUAUGUAACACUAAAAUCCUAUAUCAAGUUAUUACCUCCCUUUAUGCUAGGUGAUUAUGUAACUCUAAAAUCCUAUAUCAAGUUAUUACCUCCCUUUAUGCUAGGUGAUUAUGUGAUUAUGUAACACUAAAAUCCUAUAUCAAGUUAUUAUCUCCCUUCAUGUUAGGUGGUUAUGUUACACUAAAAUCCUAUAUCAAGUUAUUAUCUCCCUUUAUGAUAGGUGAUUAUAUAACACUAAAAUCAUAUAUCAAGUUAUUAUCUCCCUUUAUGAUGGGUGAUUAUGUAACACUAAAAUCCUAUAUCAAGUUAUUAUCUCCCUUUAUGCUAGGUGGUUAUGUAACACUAAAAUCCUAUAUCAAGUUAGGCCAAAGCAGUUAAAUUCUGUACCAAUUUAGGCAAAGCAAUAAUUAUUUAACCUAUUUAAUAAAUAAUAAGUUUCUGAUUCCUUAUUUAUCCAUUGCUGGAGAUACCUAAUACAAAAGCAAUUUAUAUCAAUAUUUUACAAUGAGAAUAUGGAAGUCUGGAAACCUCUAACUUUACAUUUAACAAAGUUGUUAAACAACAAAAACUUGCUCUGUGGAUACAUUCAAAAUUUAUUAUUCUUUUGUAAGAAAUAAGAUGUCUAUCUUUGCUUUAUAAAAUACCAGCUGAUAUAUGAAAUACCAACUGCAAAGUACAGAUAUCUCAUGAUAAAUAAACUGAAGGAAGAUACUAAAAUCUACUACCCAUGCAAUUAAAAUAUCAUACUCAUGCAAAUAGGAUGUAAGCUUAAAGAAUUGAGGUGAUUAGGAAUGUUAUCAAAUUAGGCCAUUCUUAUUACAUUAUUUACUAACUGUGAUGCAAAAUUUGAUUAAAUAUACAUUUUGCUGCCACCAAAUGUUAUGUUAAAAACAAUGGGAUUAGACUAAAUUUCAUAAACAUACUCUUUUUUCAAAUAAAGGUGGAGGUUGUCGCUGUCUGUUUAUAAAGUCCAUCAUUUGGUCAUAUGA